UUAAUGUUGUACAAGAGAAAUCCAAAUCUAUAGGUUUUGUUACGGCGCAACUUAGAGAAAAACCAAAUGACCCAAACGGAUUUGUUUUUAAAGGAGGGUCUAUUAUUGGAAUUGGUCAAGUAAAUCUUGGAAGACCUUGGGGCCCUUACUCAAGAGUCAUAUUUUGGGAAACAUAUUUUUCAUCUGUAAUAACACCUGAAGGAUGGAACCUUUGGCAUGUAAGAGGCGACCAAAAGGAAAAUACCGUCUUUGCAGAAAUUAAUUGUAAAGGACCAGGAGCCAAUACUAAGAACCGUGUCAACUGGAUAGAUAAUCCAAAUAGCAUAAAUUUAAAUGAAUAUACUUUAUCAUCUUUUAUCAAUAAAGAUGGAUGGCUUACCCAUAUACCAUCAAUGUAACGUAGUUUUUUUUUUUUUUUUUGUCAAAAGAAAUAUAUCUAUAUGAUGUGGCCCACUCUAAUCCUGCUUUUCCAUUGAUUAAUUAAUUAAUUAAUUGCACAUU